AGUAACUGAAAAGCACAUUUUAAAACUUCCUGUACUGUUUUGUUUGAGGUUUAUUUAACUCAUAUGCUAGACAGUCCAAAAUAUGUUUGUCUAAGUGGAACAGCACCUUUAAUGCUUUCUAUGUUAUACUUUAAGAGAAUAGACAGUUUGAGGAAAGAAUAACAUGGCAGAUAUCCUUAAGUGUCUGUGUUUGGGCCAAAUUAGGGAUGAAAAGCAGUCCUGGCACUUUAAGGCCUACAGCCGCUAGAUGACGUACACAUGGCCACAUGUUACAUGGUGUGUGGUUUUACAUUUACAGCCGGCGACCGUACAAUGAUCAAUCUGGACCUACAAGAGCAAAGAAUUUCUUCAUUAAGAUAGUAAAAUUACAGAUCUGCUAGGGUUUAUUUGCUAGAAUCUCCAAUUAAGUUUUGUCUUAGCAGAAUCUUUAAUAAACUUAAUUUGAUCUAUUUACUUACAUUAACGGUGAAAUGUAUUUGUAAGUUUGUAAUAACCAUGAAUGCUCGUGGUAACCGGAAUGAUUAAACCCUCGCACUCCUGUGGAUGAAAAGCAUUAUCAGAGUUUUAUGUAGCAGCAAUAUUUGUUUUUUCUGAUUGCAAGUUGUAUGUCUUCUUGAGUUUAACAGACAUAUUAAAAAUACUUAAAUAUAAUUAAAUGUUUAUGCUAAUCUA